CAGCAUAACUCUGUGUCCUUGUCCUCCAAUCCUCUGGAUAUAAAGGCCAGCAUUCCAUUAGCUUUCUUCAGUCAAUGAAUAUCAGAUUUAAAAAGAAACACGAAAAUUGUUGGAGAAACUCAUCAAGGACAGAUAUUAUUUGCCACCUGGGGACUGACUGUUUGCUGCUGAUGACAAUUCUCUGUCUUUUCUUUUGACCCUUUCGUGACAAGCUGUGCUGGAGCCGUGUACAGUUCUGUAACAAACACAGGGACGCACGAUGAUGAUACCAAGAUGGAUGGUGGUUUGGUGUGCUCGGUCAUCACGAUCCCAAAGACAAGAAACACUGGCUGACUAAGCAGACCAGCAACCAUCCUGCAUCACAUACGCCACCCCGAGGCACACAGAUAUGCGAGGGGAUGAAGAACCAGGUCAAGAUGGAGAAGGAAACGUUUACGCCAACCUUCCAUGGACAUUGUGAGACAGCACAGAAGAAUCCCUUCAAAGCUUCACAAAUUGAUGGAUAGCAAUUGUUCCUUCCAGCAAAUAAGGGGGAGAAGGAAGAGAGGACAGAGGAGUGUCAAGUUUCUGCAGCUGACAAAUGGCUCAACUUUGUUUCCAUUCAUUCAGCCAGACAUCAAUUCUAAACAUGAAUUUGCCUUGAGAAACCAUCUGAAUAACUGUCUCUCACAUAACUCUGAGUGAGCCAAUUUCUCCUGCUGUAGCAUGACCUGACCCUUGAUGGCAGGGGUUUGAGAUUUAGUGUUGUCCAUUCCUAACUUGAGUAUCCAUUUGAUCUCCUGGUCAGUGGGUCAGGGCAGAUGAGCCAAUGAAUUGAAUCUACUCUGCAUUUAUUUUUUAAUUGUGGUGAGCUAUUAUUGGAGGUGUGAUUAUUCUCCAGCUCAAUCCACAUUACCCUCUACUUCAUCAUUUUCAAACAUAUAUCCAGCUCUCUCCUCAUACCUCAUAUGGAAUCCACCUCCACCACUCUCCCAGGCAGCGCAUUCCAAGUCCGAACAAUGGUCCGAGUAAACAUGUUUCUCCUCAUCUCACUCCUAGCUCUCUUGGUAACAAUCUUGAAAUUCUGACCCCUGGUUACUGACAUAGUGGAAAACAGAGUAUUCUACUUUACCCUCUCAAAAUUCUUCAUAACUGUGAACACCCCCAUUUGUGUCCCCUCUGCUCCAGGGAGAAUAAGCCUGGUUUCAUUAAUCUUUCUUCGAAUGUAAAAUCCUUCAUUCCUGCUGUCAUUCUACUAAUCUACUUUAAACCAUCUCCAGAGGGUUCUUCCUUAAAUAAGGUGCCCAGAGCUGAACACAAACAUAGUCUGAGCAAUGUGGUCUCAACAAUAAUUUGUAGAGAUGUAGUAUUACUUCCUUGCUUUGAGACUCAAUGCCUCUAUUUUUAAACUCAAAGAUCCUUUGAAACUGCUUCACAACUGUUUCAAAUUGCCUGGCCACCUUCAGAGAAUGAUGCACAUGAACCCGAAAGAUCUCUCUGUUCCAAUAUUCCCUUUAAAGCUGUACCAUUGAGCUUGUAUUGUUUCUUUAUAUUUUUCUUUGCAAAAUGCAUAAGCUCAUAUUUUUCUGCAUUGAAAUUUAUCUGGCAGGUUUCUGCUCAUUUGGCCAAUUUGCCAAUGUCCCUGUGAAGUCACUCAGUAUCAUCCUCACAAUUCACUCUUCUCCCUGGCUUAGUAUCAUCUGUACAUUUAGAGAUUUUAUCCUCAAUACCCAACUCCAAACCAUUUCUAUAAUCAAUAUAUUUAUCUACAUACACCUGUCAGUUUCUCUUAUGUAAAUGUAUGACUGUAUUUACCAGCCUGUACCUGUAGUUUCUGCUCUGAGAAUUGAGAAUGACAAUACUAAUCUGUAUCUGUCAGUUUCUGUUGUGUGAAUAUGAGUUCCCAGUCUAUGCCUCUCUGUUUCUGCCUUGUCAGUGUGUAAAUGUACUUAUCGAAGUACACCUGUCAGUUCCUGCUCGGUGAAUGUGAGAGUGCUGUUCCCAACAUGUACCUGUGAGAUUCUGCUCUGUCAAUAGGAGAGUCUAGUUAACAGACUAUACUUGUCAGUUUCUGCUCUGUGAAACUGGGAGUGUAGUUAUCAUUGUGUAUGUCCAUUUUAGCUUUGAGAAUGAGGGUGUAGUUAUUCAUCUCUCCCUGACAGUUCCUGCAACGUGAAUGCAUGACUGACAUUAGCAGGAACCAACAGAGACUGAUAACUACAGUCACACCUUUACAUUGUAGUCAAUGUGUUGUCAUAACUUGUGUGUUUCUGCAAUAUGAACAAGUGGGUGUAGUUAUCAAUCUGUACGUGUGAGUUUCUCCUCAUGUAUCAAAUUGGCUAAGUCUCUGAAGGCCAGUAAUAUUCUCUGUGACUGUACGAAAAGGCUGGGUCUUAAUCUCUUCUGCAUUGUGUGAUUUAGGAGUUGAGUGUCAGUCCGUGUGGUAGGUGAGGGGGUGGAGAAGUUGAGGACAUGGGGUGAUAACAGGAGGGGAACUGCUUUAUUCUGAGAACCAUUCUGAUGAAUGGUCACAUAUUUCCGAUUUGGUCAGGCAGUCUGAGAUCUGUGGUACCACUGAUUAAACUGUUUGUUUCUCACCAAAAUCAGUAACACAGAUAUGGUACAGCAUAGAGGCAGACCAUUCAGCCCACUGUCUCUGUACUGGGAUUUUUUAAUGCAUCAGUUCCACAGUAAUUGUUAGGAAUGUGAACUUCAUCUACUCAUUGUCAGUGUCUAUUUGUAAAGGCCAAUAUGACAUUAGUUCUGUGGGUAUCUGACUUUUCGUAACGGCAGUUUUGAUAUGUUUCCCACAGUCUCAGGGAGAGUAUUUGGAUCUCAUUCUCGUAUGUUCAG